GAAGGUAUAGCUCAAGUGGUAGAGGACAUGCUUAACAUGCUUAACGUCCUGGGUUCAAUCCCCAGUACCUCCU
rnacentral:tRNA from 1 species